UUCUCUUUCUUCCAUCAUGUGUGUGAUUCCUACUAGAGGAGAUUGUGGAUCUGUGGAGAGUUAAAAGAAACAACAUCGCGUCUCUGCAAACAGAACGGCGAUAAACCGCAGAUGAAAUGUUCAAACACGGUCAAUCAUCUCCUCCUCGGAUGCUGGAGAGGAGGAGGAUGGAGAGGAAAGAGGCGAGACGCUGGAGGCAGAUAAGGUGCAGCAGAGAGGAAGGCGAGUGGAAGGAAGGAGGCCACUGAAGUAGAACACAGUCGAUGUCUCUGGGCUCCUGUCGGCUGCAGUUUGCUGGGAUCUUCAGUUUAUUCACUCCUGCAUGCUUCCAUUGCAGAGAUUAAAGGUCAUGUCUGUGCUCGGCGAUGCAGCGAUAAUAACAUCACACAUGGAGUCCUGCCUCACACUAUGCAGCAGCAGCAGCUCUGUGAGGCCCAGAAGCAGGACGUCCACACUGACUGUAGCAUUUACAGAGUGUGAGCUAAAGGUUAGAGCUGGUGACCUGAAUCCCCUGACAAGCUGGGAAAGUCUUGGCGAGGGAAAUGAGCGAGUAACACCACGCGCUGCAUUAAUGAACGCCACCAAGAUCUCAAGCAAGGCACUUAACCCCCCGACUGCUCCAGCUGAGCCACUCUGAGGACUCUGGUCUCCUGGGACGGACUGGAUUCCUACAAGAUGUUCUAUGGAUGGCAGUGUUUUGGGUCAGAGACGGUAAAAGGGAGAAACUCUCCACUUAAAGAGAUCUGAAUAGUGCAUGAGUAGUCAAGUAUAGUUCAUGAUGUGGGGGAAAACACUUUGAGAACUUAUUUAGGGGAAAAGCCCCACUGUUACCCUUAAACAACAUGCCAGGGCAACAAGACUGACAUUGCUUUGGUCACAAUGUCUCAACAGCUACUGGGUAGACUGCCAGGACAUUUUAUUUAUUCAUUUAUUUAUUUAUUUGCAGUUUUUUAAUGUAAUCUUUUUGUGAAAUUUUCUGUCAUUUUACAGGUUUUCACAUAGAAUUUGGCAAAUCACAGAAAAAAGGGAUUAUUGUGUGACCAUAAUAUUACCGAAACAAAACAGACCCAACCCAACCCAACUCAGCCCAACUUAACCCAACCCAACUCAGCCCAACCCAACUCAGCCCAACUUAACCCAACCCAACUCAGCCCAGCCCAACUCAGCCCAACUUAACCCAACCCAACUUAGCCCAACCCAACCUACCUCAACUUCACCCAACUCAAACCAACUUAACCCAACCGUACCUGACCCAGCCCAACUUAACUAAACCCAACCCAAUUCAACUCAACCCAACUCAAGCCAAUCCAUUACAGUAUAAUUGGAAUGUGCCUUGCUAUUUGAAUAUUGCAUCCAUUAUAUCUAGAUUUAUUAGUUAUCUUUUAUUUGAAUAUUGUAUUCUUUUGAUCAUAACUACCAAGUCUGUGCAGAGGGACUGUGUAAGAAUUAUUUCAUAACAUCAGUUGGCCUCUGUGGUUGAACUCUGUUUGUUGGCCCACCCAUCCACCCCAGUUUGUUCCAAUCAUAAUUGCCCCUCAAGUGCUUUGUCAUUUUAAUGUAAAUAUUUUCCAUUUUUGGUGCAUCUGCUGAAGGUCGCGUAGCAAUCAGAUAUAACUGUAUGUGUAGCAGUAAGCUGCAGAAACAACUUAUUUAGAGGACAAAGUGAUUUCACUGUUCACUUCCAACUCUCCAUUUUUUCCAUCACGUCUGCACCUCUGAUAUGAUUCAGCUCUCAAUCCCCUCAGUGUGAUUUUUUUGUGCUCCCUUUAUGUGGAACACUGAUCCAGACUCAUCUGAGCUGUUAAGACCCAGAAAAUGACUUCUCAAAAUAAGACCAGGUACUAAAAUAGAAAUUUUGUUGAGGAGAAAAAUUGCUCCUUCCUUCCACUAACACGGUGAAUUAAAGGCUCCAGGCAGGAACGUUUGUCCUCAUCAUGUCCCUCCUUCACAGAAGUUAUAUAUAGUUGGAUCAGUUGUUUUGGAGUGUGGCUGUCUGACAGCAGCUGUCUCCUGCCGGCUGACGGACUGGACUCAGCUCAGCUAAGAAAUCAAUCCUCAGAUCCUUCGUGAUGACAAACGAAAUGCAGCCUCCACUUGUCUCCAGCAAGAACAGUGACAAAGCAAUUUCUCAUCACAGGAUCUUUCACACCCAUCAACCCGCUCUGUUGUGUUGCAGAUAAUUAAAACACAAUCCAUUAGCUUCUAUACAAAGACUAAAUUACAAGUUACUUUAAUGUUAUACACCUUUUUUUCCUCCCUUUGGGUCUGCUUUUAUCUCUCUCCAUUCAUUCAUCCUGUUUCCAAUUCCCUCAAUUAUGUUUCAUGUCAGCCGGAUGAUCAGGGAGCCGUGGUUACCUGACAGCCGUUGCCAUGGUGACCAGGUCUGUGAAAUGUUUUUGUUCUGCUCUCUCCUCUCGAUUUUUUCUCUCCUGCCUUAAAAUACACUCUUUGUUGUUUAACCUUUGUGAGGAGAUGCAUCGAGCAUUUCUGUCUUUUCUGUUUAGUUGGGGUUUUUUUUUUCAUCCCAGCUGCUUCCACUCACCUGUGAGGAGAAGAAAGAACAAGAACAGGGGGAAAGGUGGGGGAUGGUCGAUAAAUAAAAUGGAUAUUCUGGGUUUUAAGAGGAAGAAAAACACAGUGCAAUGACUUUUCGAUGGGUUAUUCACAACAAAUUAGGUGUUGUCGUAGAAACCAUCAUUUACUGAUAAGACAGGAUGUGUUUUCCUUGUUAAAACUACCAUUAUUCACCCAUUGAUCUGUUUUUAAAUUAGACUGAUUUACUCUGUUAAUGAGUUCUUUUGAGCAACCAAGUAAUGUAGUGAGUAGAUUGUUUUUUGAACAAGCCACAUGAUCUUUGGUUGUGAUAUAACCUGCUUUUUAAAAAAAAAAAAAAAAAAAUAGGCUCCGUUUACUAUGCAGCAUGGGAUAAAUAAGUCAUACCUCCGUUGAGAUGAUGAUAGAGAUACAAUACUAUCGUGAAAAGACAAGAGGAUCCAACAGAAGCAGAACCACAAAGUUUGACCUCUAAGUUUGGAGGAAAACAAUAAAAAGAAGUCAUGGUGCACUCUAAAAAUCAAGUGUUUGCACCCCCCAAAGUAAAAUACAAUAAAAUUAAAUAAAAUCAAAAUUAAAAUUAAAUUAAAUCAAUUCAAAAUCAGAUCAAAUCAAGAUGAAAUAAAAAAUAAGAUAGAACAGUAAAAAUUAGAUAAAAUAAAAAAUAAUAUAAAAUUGAAUAAAGAUAAGAUCAAAUAAAAUUAACUCAAAUAAAAUUAAAUUAACUUAAAUUAAAAUUCAAUUCAAUUACAAUGCAGCUUGCAUUAACUUUUUAGAGUUGCUGUGCGCUCUAAAAACAAAUGUUUGCGCCCCCUCAAAAUAAAAUAAAAUAAAUUCAGUUCAAUUCAGUUCAGUUCAAAAUCUAAUCAAAUCAAGAUAAAAUAAAAAUAAGAUAAAAUAGAAUAAAAAUAAGACAAGAUAAAAAUAAAAAUGAGAAAAAUAAAAAAUAAGAUGAAAUAAAGUAAAAUUUGAUAAAUUAAAUUAAAUCAAAUAAAUUAAAUUGAAUUAUAUAUAGCAGCUUGCAUUAACCUUUUAGAGUUAUGGCAAUUUCUACUGAAAUUAUGUUCAAUCUGUAAACUCGGUUGACUUUGGAGAAGUCAACAGAACAAGGCUUUCCUUUACAAUCAAAUUAAAUUUAAUUACUAAUAGGUAGGAUGAAGUUUUUUUAAGGUGAUUCUCCAUUAACAUUAAGUUUUUCCAACAAGAGUUUCUGCAUUAUUUGAAAGGAAUUUUGAAAUGUCACUCCUAAUUACUAAUGUUAUGAACCCAAGCUUGUGCAUUGUUUAAGUUUUAAAAAAGUUAGAUUUUCUUCAGCAUUUUAAAGCUUUUUUUGUGGUUGUUUUUGUUCUUGUAGCAGCUUUUAAGAGACAAAACUGAUGCUUAACUUUUUAAAAUUUUAAUCCCCAGUUGUGUAGUUGAAUACAGGAGAUACUAAGAAAUGUCACCUUAAAACGUUUUUUGUGUAUAAUUUAUUCAGCCUACAGAUCCUCUAACACACAGUCCUAACUGUGAAUCUGUUCAGGCAGGUUUAGUUGCUACGAGAGGAGACCUGACAUCUUCAACUCACAAUGAAGAAAAAUUAAGUUAUCAAGCCAAUUUCAUUAGUUUACUCAAUAGUGCAAUUUCAAGGUACUUUUAAAACAAUUACCAUAGAGAAUUGCUAAGUUAAUGAAAUUACAAACAUCAUUAUGUCACUAAAACUCAUCUCAAUAAUGAUUUUGAAUGUUUUUUCUUGCAGCCAUGCCUUUAAUUAAGUUGCAAGCAUAGAUACCCUGAAUUACUAUUUAGAAAGUGGACUAAUGUGUAGACUCUCAUUAAAAUAUAAAACAAAUGUGAGCUUUAAAUGAUCCUAGUAAUGAAAAUCAACCUGGUAAAUGGAGAAAAUGGUGAAAUAGAUUAAACUUAAAGAACACAGACAUCUAUCUAACAAUAUUAUGCUGCUAGUGGCCUCAACUUCAAUCUUUAUUCUUUCUUACUUUAUACAUUUAGUCAAAGUCAAAGUCAGCUUUUUUGUCAGUUCUUCAAUAUGUACAUGACACACCAAGAAUUGAAAUUACGUUACUCUCUCUUUGUGCAACAGUAGACAUUAAAUAAACACUUAGGGAAAAAAAAGAUAUUAAAGGGCAAAAAAAAGAACGAAGGAAGUAAAACUAGAGCCGAGCAACAACUAAGAACUAAGAAAAGCAGAACUGAGUGAAAUGUAAACACGACCAUGAGAUAAGAUUAGGUUUUAAAAAAUAGGUAAGAUUAGAUGAGAUUUAUAUGCCACUAUUACAUGUCGCUAACUUUCUAUCUUGUCUCUCCUGAAGGUUUGGUCUUUCUACUCAAGGUGAGUUUUUUCUUCCCACUGUGCUGCUCACAGGGAAUCUAAAGAAACUCUGGAUUUGUUGGGGUUUUCUGUACAAUUUUCUAAGGUUCUCACCUCACUAUGUGCAGUGUCAUGUGUUGUGAAUUGGCUCUAUAUUAAAAAAAUUCAUUAAAUUGAAUAUUUCAUUUUAAAGCCCAA